rnacentral:rRNA from 1 species
GAUGAAUGCUGGCGGCGUGCCUAAUACAUGCAAGUCGAGCGAACAGACGAGGAGCUUGCUCCUCUGACGUUAGCGGCGGACGGGUGAGUAACACGUGGAUAACCUACCUAUAAGACUGGGAUAACUUCGGGAAACCGGAGCUAAUACCGGGUAACAUGUUGAACCGCAUGGUUUAACAGUGAAAGACGGUCUUGCUGUCACUUAUAGAUGGAUCCGCGCCGCAUUAGCUAGUUGGUAAGGUAACGGCUUACCAAGGCAACGAUGCGUAGCCGACCUGAGAGGGUGAUCGGCCACACUGGAACUGAGACACGGUCCAGACUCCUACGGGAGGCAGCAGUAGGGAAUCUUCCGCAAUGGGCGAAAGCCUGACGGAGCAACGCCGCGUGAGUGAAGAAGGUCUUCGGAUCGUAAAACUCUGUUAUUAGGGAAGAACAAAUGUGUAAGUAACUAUGCACGUCUUGACGGUACCUAAUCAGAAAGCCACGGCUAACUACGUG